GCCCCCAUUGUCUAAUGGUUAUGACGUCAGACUUCUAAUCUGGAGGUUGCGGGUUCGAGUCCCGCUGGGGGUU